rnacentral:rRNA from 1 species
CCUACGGGAGGCAGCAGUGGGGAAUAUUGCACAAUGGGGGAAACACUGAUGCAGCGACGCAGCGUGAAUGAAGAAGGACUUCGGUAUGUAAAGCUCCAUCAGCAGGGGAGUAAAUUACAGUACCUAUCUAAGAAGCCACGGCUAACUACGUGCCAGCAGCCGCGGUACUACGCAGGGAGCCAGCGUUAUACGGAUUUACUGGGUGUAAAGGGAGCGUAGACGGCAGAGCAGGUCUGAAGUGAAAGCCCGCGGCCCAACUGCAAGACUGCUUUGGAAACUGGCCGGCUAGAGUGCUGGAGAGGUAAGCGGAAUUCGUAGUGUAGCGGUGAAAUGCGUAGAUAUUAGGAGGAACACCAGUGGCGAAGGCGGCUUACUGGACAGUAACUGACGUUGAGGCUCGAAAGCGUGGGGAUCAAACAGGAUUAGAUACCCCAGUAGUC